rnacentral:rRNA from 1 species
AGCGAACGCUGGCGGCAGGCUUAACACAUGCCAGUCGAGCGGGCAUCCUUGUGGUGUCCGCGGCAGACGGGUGAGUAACGCGUGGGAACGUGCCCUUCGGUUCGGAAUAACUCAGGGAAACUUGCGCUAAUACCGGAUACGCCCUUUUGGGGAAAGGUUUACUGCCGAAGGAUCGGCCCGCGUCUGAUUAGCUAGUUGGUGAGGUUAUGGCUCACCAAGGCGACGAUCAGUAGCUGGUCUGAGAGGAUGAUCAGCCACACUGGGACUGAGACACGGCCCAGACUCCUACGGGAGGCAGCAGUGGGGAAUAUUGGACAAUGGGGGCAACCCUGAUCCAGCCAUGCCGGGUGAGUGAUGACGGCCUUAGGGUUGUAAAGCUCUUUUCUCCGGGACGAUAAUGACGGUACCGGAGGAAUAAGCCCCGGCUAACUUCGUG